AAGAACCCAGAAGCCAGAAUGCAAAGAUUUCACUUCAACAAUAGAUCUGCACCAUUUUGAACUGAAAUUCACACUAAGAGAACUAAGUUCAUGAAACUAAAAAUCAGACACCCAAUUUAAGAAACAGCGCCUUGAUCGGAGAAAACCCAGGCAGGCAAACUCACCGAGAACCAAGAUCAAGCACAUGCACACAAUCAAAGUAGUAAAAAAUCAAAUCCAAAAGUUACAAAACAGCAAAACAAAAACCCAAUUCACCAAACAGAAAUGCAAAAGCCAAAAUGCAGCAAAGAGAUCAGAAGAAGAGAAGCAAAAUGGCAUGAUGACGACCUCGAAUUUAGAAAGGG
rnacentral:misc_RNA from 1 species